rnacentral:lncRNA from 1 species
GUAAAAUGUAUUAAAAAUUCUUUAUGCAUUUUUUCAUCCCUUACAUUCUUAGCUAUGCAGGGGUUAAAGGUCAUGCAGAAUACUUCAAGGUAUUGUUUGGGUAUUUUCAGGGGAAAAAAAAAGGUUGCCUAAACUGAGUGAAGUAACCAACUUUUACAAGGAUCUUCUCAUCUCAUUACAACUGGUGGUUGUACACAUUGAAAUAUUGUUGUAUGGGGCAGUUUUCCAAGUUGUAUGAAAAGCCUUGAAAUAUUUAACAUUUUGCUCUAUUACAAUUUGAGAAAUUAUAUUAAAAAAUAAAGAAACAAAACGAUAUAUGUCAUUGCAGCACUAUUUAUUACGGGUGGAAAAAUUCUAAAUUUCUAAUAAUAAUGGCAUAUCUGUGACUUUAAAAAUAAUAUUUCAAAGAUUAUUUCAUAGCCAAACAAGCUAAUUAUAAUAUAAUUGUUUUUAAGUCUUAAAAAAGGCAGCGAAUUAUCCCAGAUAUCUAUAUGAGUGUGUAUGCGAGUUGGGGGAACUCUGGAAGAAAAUCUGCCAGUGAUUACUGGGGUUAUGGCAUAUAGAUGAUUUUUACUUCUCAUUUUCAACCUGCUAAAUCAUAAUGAGUUUCUGUAAUAAAUCUGUAUAACUUUUAUCAGAAUAAAUUCUGUUUUCAUAACUAGAUCCUAGUUCCCAGAGCAGGCAGAUUAGGUAAACAGCCCUCUUUACAAGAUGGUUUCUAAAAAGAGGCUUGAACACAGAAGCACGUUCUACCACUGCUGUUUCUAGUUAGCUAGUUCUUUAUUAUAGUUGUAUUUCACAGCUUAGUCUAUAAUAUAGAAAUUCUCUAGCAAGGUUGGAUACCCAUGGACAUCCUCUCCUGUAUGUUCAGUUUCUGAAACCCAUGUUC